rnacentral:lncRNA from 1 species
CAGGGGCUGGCCUCCUGGUGGGCCUUGUCCUGGGGCCAGCCUGGUGGGCCCUGCCCUGGUGGCCAGCCUGGUGGGCCUCGCCUUGGGGGCCCACACAGCCCAAGGCCCAUCCCUGCUCUGCGGCCUCUGCGGCCUCCGGGUUGAGCCAGGCUCCUCACUGCCAACCCCUCACCCUCCGCCCUCCCAAGCCCCGGGGCGACUCCACACCGCGGGCCGUGUCCAGGCUGUGGGGCCAGAGAGGGGCUCCCUGGAGCUGAGCUUUCCUCUGGGCGCUUGCCCAGGGCUGAGAGGGCACAGCUGGCCCUGCAGGAGCCCUGAGCCUGAGCAGGGAACUCAGGAUCCAUGCAAGUGCAAAAAAUCUGCCCCCCAAAGGCUCAGGAUAUGGAACAAUGGACCGGUUCCAAAUUGGGAAGGGAGUACGUCAAGGCUGUAUAUCGCCACCAUGCUUAUUUAACGUCUAUGCAGAGCACAUUAUGAGAAACGCCAGGCUGGAUGAAUCACAAGCUGGAAUCAAGAUUGCCAGAAGAGAUGUCAAUAACCUCAGAUAGGCAGGUGACACCACACUUAUGAAGAAAGCAAAGAGGAGCUAAAGAGCCUCUUGAUGAAAGUGAAAGAGGAGAGUGAAAAAGUAGGCUUAAAGCUCAACAUUCAAAAAAUUAAGAUUAUGGCAUCCAGUCCCAUCACUUCAUGGUGAAUAGACGGGGAAAAAGUGGAAACAGACUAUUCUCUUGGGCUCCAAAAUCAAUGGGCACAGUGAGUGCAGCCUUGAAAUUAAAAGACACUUGCUCCUUGGAAGAAAAGCUAUGACCAACAAAGACAGCAUAUUAAAAAGGAGAGAUGUUAAUUUGCCAACAAAGGUCCGUAUAGUCAAAGCUUUGGUUUUUUCCAGUGGUCAUGUAUGGAUGUGAGAGUUGUACUAUAAAGAAGGCUGAGCGCCGAAGAAUUGAUGCUUUUGAACUGUGGUGUUGGAGAAGACUCUUGAGAGUUGCUUGGACUGCAAGGAGAUCAAACCAGUCCAUCCUGAAGGAAACCAACCCUGAAUGUCCAUUGGAAGGACUGAUGUUGGUGGUGAAGCUCCAAUACUUGGCCACCUGAUGCGAAGAACUGACUCACUGGAAAAGACCCUGAUGCUGGGGAAGAUUGAAGGCAGGAGGAGAAGGGACGACAGAGGAUGAGAUGGUUGGAUGGCAUCACCGACUCAAUGGACGUGAGUUUGAGCAAGCUCCGGGAGUUGGUGAUGGACAGGGAGGCCUGGAGUGCUGCAGUCCAUGGGGUCACAGAGUUGGACACGACUGAGCAACUGAACAGUAACACACGGGCUUAGGAAUGCUCCUUUUUUCUUGGCCUAAAUAAAUCCACUGUGAAAAAGGUGUGUCUUCUCA